rnacentral:misc_RNA from 1 species
AACGUAGGGGGCAAGCGUUGCCCGGAUUCACUGGGCGUAAAGCGGGUGUAGGCGGUCCGUUAAGUCGGAUGUGAAAUCCCGAGGCUCAACCUCGGAAUCGCAUCCGAUACUGGCGGACUUGAGGACGGUAGAGGUCGGUGGAAUACCAGGUGUACCGGUGAAAUGGGCAGAUAUCUGGUAGAACACCAGUGGCGAAGGCGGCCGACUGGGCCGAUCCUGACGCUGAGACCCGAAAGCCAGGGGAGCGAACCGG